UACCAGCACCCCGAGUUGUCGGGACGAUUAUUGGGCCUAAAGCAUCCGUAGCCUGUUCUGCAAGUCCUCCGUUAAAUCCACCUGCUCAACGGAUGGGCUGCGGAGGAUACCGCAGAGCUAGGAGGCGGGAGAGGCAAACGGUACUCAGUGGGUAGGGGUAAAAUCCAUUGAUCCAUUGAAGACCACCAGUGGCGAAGGCGGCUUGCCAGAACGCACUCGACGGUGAGGGAUGAAAGCUGGGGGAGCAAACCGG
rnacentral:rRNA from 1 species